rnacentral:sRNA from 1 species
GAGAGGAGCCCGUGGGCUGCUGGACCGGACCGGACAGCACCAGGAAGCCCGGCAGGAGUCUUGCUCUGUCACCCAGGCUGGAGUGCACUGUUGUGAUCUUGGCUCACUGCGACCUGUGCCUCCUGGUUCAAGCGAUCUUCCCACCUCAGCCUCCUGAAUAGCUGGAACUAUAGACACACGCCACCACACCCGGCUGAGAGAAUUCUGCCAGAUAUCAGGACAGAUGGGGAACAGCAGAAGCCGUGUGGGGCAGAGCUUUUGUUCACAGUUUCUUCCUGAGGAACAGGCAGAGAUUGAUCGAUUGUUUGAUGCUCUGUCAUCAGAUAAAAACAGCCCGAAUGUCUCAUCCAAAUCCUUCUCUCUGAAGGCACUACAGAACCACGUCGGGGAAGCUCUUCCCCCAGAGAUGGUCACCAGGCUGUACGAUGGCAUGCGGAGGGUCGACCUGACAGGGAAGGCGAAGGGACCCAGUGAGAACGUGUCCCAGGAGCAGUUCACAGCAUCCAUGUCCCACCUGUUGAAAGGAAACUCCGAGGAGAAGAGUCUCAUGAUUAUGAAAAUGAUUUCUGCCACAGAAGGUCCCGUGAAGGCCAGAGAAGUCCAAAAGAAAUCUUUUGGAGAAAGGAUUUUAGAGGAAAAUGAGUCUCAGGGCUUGGGUUUUGUCUGAUCUGUCAUGUCCAGAAUGGUUUAUUCCUAGUCAGAUAUGUUUUUAGUUUACAGAGGAUCUGGUUGGCUCUGUGGUGCACGUGCUAAGCCACAGACAGGAGCUGAGAGGCUGGACUGG